GGAACAUUCAAGCUGGUCAUUCUCGUUACAACCCACCAAAGUCAACUGCACCGGAAGAUAGUAUACAAGCAGGAUUGCCUAGGCACAGCAAACCGCAGACACCGGGGGACACUCAAGCUGGUCAUUCUCGUUACAACCCACCAAAGUCAACUGCACCGGAAGAUAGUAUACAAGCAGGAUUGCCUAGCAAACCGCAGAUACCGGGGGACACUCAAGCUGGUCAUUCUCGUUACAACCCACAAAAGUCAACUGCACCGGAAUAUAGUGUACAAACAGGAUUUCCUAGGUAAAAAGCUUUAGUACAAUCCAUUGUUUUAGAACAAACGGUACAUUAUUUUCGACAAACGUGGACCUAACUGUGACAGUUUCGUUUUGCUC